UUCCGGUUGAUCCCGCCGGACCUGACUGCUAUCGGAUUGAUACUAAGCCAUGCGAGUCUUUGUAGUAAUACAAGGCAUACGGCUCAGUAACACGUAGUCAACCUACCCUAUGGACGAGAAUAAUCUCGGGAAACUGAGCAUAAUUCUUGAUAGAUCAUAAUGCCUGGAAUGGUUUAUGGUUAAAAUGAUUCGUCGCCAUAGGAUGGGACUGCGGCCUAUCAGCUUGUUGGUGAGGUAAUGGCCCACCAAGGCGAUUACAGGUACGGGCUCUGAGAGGAGAAGCCCGGAGAUGGGUACUGAGACACGGACCCAGGCCCUAUGGGGCGCAGCAGGCGAGAAAACUUUGCAAUGUGCGAAAGCACGACAAGGUUAAUCCGAGUGAUUUCUGCUAAAGAAAUCUUUUGCCAGUCGUAAAACCGCUGGUGAAUAAGGGGUGGGCAAGUUCUGGUGUCAGCCGCCGCGGUAAAACCAGCACCUCAAGUGGUCAGGAUGAUUAUUGGGCCUAAAGCAUCCGUAGCCGGCUUUGUAAGUUUUCGGUUAAAUCCAUGUGCUCAACGCAUGGGCUGCCGAAAAUACUGCAUAGCUAGGGAGUGGAAGAGGUAGACGGUACUCAGUAGGUAGGGGUAAAAUCCUUUGAUCUAUUGAUGACCACCUGUGGCGAAGGCGGUCUACCAGAACACGUUCGACGGUGAGGGAUGAAAGCUGGGGGAGCAAACCGGAUUAGAUACCCGGGUAGUCCCAGCUGUAAACGAUGCAGACUCGAUGAUGCAUUGGCAUAAUAGCCAUUGCAGUGUCGCAGGGAAGCCGUUAAGUCUGCCGCCUGGGAAGUACGUACGCAAGUAUGAAACUUAAAGGAAUUGGCGGGGGAGCACCACAAGGGGUGAAGCCUGCGGUUCAAUUGGAUUCAACGCCGGG
rnacentral:rRNA from 1 species